AGUCAGUCAGAUUGCUUUAUUGUUACCAGCUGUUGGGCUGAGCCAUACACUCACCUUUCGCUCCGCGCGCGGCUGUUUUCAGGCGGAUAAGGAGACAAGAGUGUUUCUGCAAAAAGAGUCUCUAGCUGACAUUUCUCUUCAUGCCAGAGGGGAACUUCAUUGCCGAGGCAAAAAUGGGAAGUCUUCUGCCCCCAUAUGAAAUGUAAGGACUCCACCAAUGGUCCCAUCUGUUCAGUAACAGCUCCGCAUACCAGAAAACAAUCUCGCCUUUGGACAAAAGUUUCGCCAAACUUCUGCUUUUUCCAGGUUGAAAUCCACCCGUCGCAUGUUCACAGACCUUUCAUUAGGUGUUCAGCUCGGGGCCCCAGAUUGUUGGUGACCCCAAGUUGUUGAAGGACCCCAGGCGAUCGCCCAGCUUCGCCUAUUGAUGCCGGAGAAGUCUUUGGGAAACUCCUGGAAAGACUUGCAGAUGAGGUGUGUGAGCCGACUCCCCCCACACCGUCUGGCUGAAUGUUUCUGGCAACAACAAUGGGAGAAACUUCCAAUGGAAAGAGCCAAGAGCCCUGCAGGCGAGAUAGGGAUGUCAACGCCUGCGGUCAUGCCCAUCCUGACGAUAAAGCUGCAGCAGAAGCAGAGAUUUCUUCGUUCCCAUGUGUGACAGCGGUCCAGGGAUGGCUACGGGGGUCAGCGAUGACUUGUUUCCAGGACAGCUCAGACCUGUAAUUCCUCGACGAGGCUGCCAUCCAGUGGGUCCCUGACGUUUGUGCAGAAACCUGCUGCUCCAAACCUCCAUCAGGGAAAUAUAAAUGAUGAUGUAACGAUAGUGUGAUAAGUUCCGUGUUUCUGUGCGACAUGAUGUUAGCGCGGCUGGUUCGUGUCAAACAGUGGCGGCCUGACGGAGGCCGGCGAAGCAGAGCGAGGACCUGUUGGCCGUGGCUCCGCUCUGAGGGGAUGACCUCAGCCUCACAGGGAGGUGGACACAGUGGAGCCCUCAUGCUCCUGUUUGUUCACUAAAAGGGGAAAUCACCGGAGGGCCGGCUGAGACCGAGGUGACGACGUUUCAGCGUGGAGCUUUUUUUAUCGACUUGGUGUUGAAAAUGAUGUCAAACAUAAACAGUUUGUGGAAUUAU